rnacentral:lncRNA from 1 species
UGCUGACAGAAAAUACUACACAGACAGAAAUGGACCAGACCGUAGGGUGCCUCAAAUAAGAAAAAAAAUGAUGAUUUUCUUCUUUCUGAGGACAACUUAUCCCAGCUGAUACACUGAUUUCACCCACAUGUACUUGCAAGAUGACAGGAUAAUAUGAACUGACUACUGUUUGGACUACUCAGAUAUGGUCAAGGAAAAAGACUUGGUACGAUUAGAAGAACAAAG